UACGAAGGGGGCUAGCGUUGUUCGGAUUUACUGGGCGUAAAGCGCACGUAGGCGGCGAUCUAAGUCAGAGGUGAAAGCCCGGGGCUCAACCCCGGAACUGCCUUUGAGACUGGAUUGCUAGAAUCACGGAGAGGUGGGUGGAAUUCCGAGUGUAGAGGUGAAAUUCGUAGAUAUUCGGAAGAACACCAGUGGCGAAGGCGGCCCACUGGACGUGUAUUGACGCUGAGGUGCGAAAGCGUGGGGAGCAAACAGG
rnacentral:rRNA from 1 species